CUCAUUAUAUAGGCAUUUACCUAGAGCAUUUUAUUUUCAAGGGAAAUAAUUGUGGUCUGACUGUAUUAUUUUGAAAAUCACAGUUGAGAUUUUUUUAUGUGUGCACCGGUACAGUUUUGCGGGGAAGCGAAAGUUGCCAUGGAACUUUGUCUUCUUCUAAAAACAAGUGUCUGAUACAUGUAGUUGCAGUCUGUCUUUGGAAGCUGUAGAAAUAACAAGAAAGAGGCUGACAUAGUGUUUUGGUAGGGAAAAGUUUGAGUAUGUACAUGUACAGUUGUUUGACCUGUCUUACCCUGUGGCAGUCCACCAAGAAGAUGCUACCAUUAUGAAAAAUGCAGGAG
rnacentral:lncRNA from 1 species